CCUACGGGAGGCAGCAGUAAGGAAUAUUGGUCAAUGGACGAAAGUCUGAACCAGCCAUGCCGCGUGAAGGAUGAAGGUCCUCUGGAUUGUAAACUUCUUUUAUCUGGGACGAAAAAAGGGCUUUCUAGCUCACUUGACGGUACCAGAGGAAUAAGCACCGGCUAACUCCGUGCCAGCAGCCGCGGUAAUACGGAGGGUGCAAGCGUUAUCCGGAUUUACUGGGUUUAAAGGGAGCGUAGGUGGGCAGGUAAGUCAGUGGUGAAAUCUCUGGGCUUAACCCGGAAACUGCCAUUGAUACUAUCUGUCUUGAAUAUCCUGGAGGUAAGCGGAAUAUGUCAUGUAGCGGUGAAAUGCUUAGAUAUGACAUAGAACACCCAUUGCGAAGGCAGCUUACUACGGGAUUAUUGACACUGAGGCUCGAAAGCGUGGGGAUCAAACAGGAUUAGAUACCCUGGUAGUCCACGCCCUAAACGAUGGAUACUCGACAUCAGCGAUACACUGUUGGUGUCUGAGCGAAAGCAUUAAGUAUCCCACCUGGGAAGUACGACCGCAAGGUUGAAACUUAAAGGAAUUGACGGCUGAGAGAGACGAGACGACGACGAGGGAGGAGG
rnacentral:rRNA from 1 species